rnacentral:lncRNA from 1 species
CUUCCAAAUGUUUUUCUAUUGCCAGUUCAGGGAAGUGGGCCUGCUAAAUUCUUAAAUCAGCUGUGGAAAUCAACUAUCUGUUAUUCCAUCCAGAAUUCUCUUGCUACAAGGCACUCAUUCGUCAUUGUGGAACAGAUCAACCUGGAAGACAAAACUGUUUGCUAUAAUAUGAAGACGAUACAGUUCUAAUAGACGCCCACUUCUGUGUCAGAAACUUUCCAAAUGACCAUCUAGACCAAACCUCUCAAUUCAUAGAAGAGAAAGCAAGGCC